CCCAGUAUAGUGGUGGUGGUGAUGAGCCUGUGCAAGGUGUGACAGGCCCAUCACAGCCAGCGCUGCAGCCUCCGCUAUCUCAGACUGCGGUACACAGAUAAAGAAAAUGAAAUCUCAAGAAGUUAGGUCAUAGUCAAGAGGUAAGUGGAAGACCUGGGAUUUGAACUUAAGAACUCCGAGUCCAUUAUACUGCACAGUAUAGGAACUGCUAUAAAUGAUAGUUAAUAGAAUUAAGAAGGAAAGAUGGAGAAAAGAGCUAGACUAUAUAAAGUACUGAUAGAAGAAAUCUAUUCAGAAGGUUAUGGCUUUGAAGAUACUGAGGGACGGAUCCUCAAGAUGUCUAAAAGAGAAGAAGAUACCAAAUGCUUUGAAGACCUGGCUACAGAAUACAACUUCCACUCAGAUCUGACUAUUCUGCUUUUGAUGUUUACAGUGACUGCCAACAACCAACAGUCUUUUGGAUAAAUUACAUUUCAGCAAAUUCAAUUUAUUUCUCUUAUUAAAAAUAGUU